AGUAACACGUGGGUAACCUGCCCAGAAGCAGGGGAUAACACCUGGAAACAGAUGCUAAUACCGUAUAACAGAGAAAACCGCCUGGUUUUCUUUUAAAAGAUGGCUCUGCUAUCACUUCUGGAUGGACCCGCGGCGCAUUAGCUAGUUGGUGAGGUAACGGCUCGCCAAGGCGAUGAUGCGUAGCCGACCUGAGAGGGUAAUCGGCCACAUUGGGACUGAGACACGGCCCAG
rnacentral:rRNA from 1 species